rnacentral:lncRNA from 1 species
AUGGCCUUGAGAAAUGUCUUGGUACUGGAGUUGGUAGGAAUUUACUUCUUCUAUCUGUGAGAUGAUUUGAGCUGACUUUGGAGCCCAAGUGGUUUGCGUGGAUUGAGACCAAAGACAUGUUUGAGUCAACGAACUGGUAAGUAGUCACUGGCUCUAAACCUGAAAACUCCAGAAGGUGCUGCCGUCUUUGAGGAAAUUUGCCUACAGACCAAUACGCCAAGAGAUCCUUUCCCAAGAGGGGCUCUAGCUCGGGGCAAAGGGAAACUUUUGCCGUAGGAGAUGUUACACAAGAAUCCAAGAGUCACCUCUGCUUAGGUUUCUACUGGAAUGCAUUUAUCCAGUAAAUAUUUCCAAAGUGAAGUCAUGAUAUUAACAUUUUGGCCUUUUCUAGUGUGUUGGCUAGAAACACAAGAAACCAUAUGCACCUCCAAGUGUCCUCGUUCCUUCGGUUGGAGGGUUCUUGGGGCAAUGGGUAAGCAAUGGCUGUUUUUGAAUGUGCCCAAUCUGCCAAGGGACAAACAAUGGAUGCAAAUGUGGUAGGGAGGUACAGCAUAGGAUAGUUCUGCCUGUGGUAUAGGUAGGAUGCCGACAAUUUUAAUGCAGACAAAGGGAGAAAAUCUACAUCAUGGUGGUGUACCCUUCAGGAAACGUGUCAUACCUCUCAUGGGAAGUUCAUGGCUAUGGGGGCUUUGGAAGCGGACAUAGGCUCUAAGAAGACAUGUGCACAAUGGUGCUAGAUCUUUGCAGAAUCAGCUAGGAGAACACUCAGAAGAAAUACUCAAAAAAUAUGCAUUUUGCAAAGAAAAAAUAGCCCAACUCCAUGCUUCAAGAAUCACUAAAAGCAGUAAGUCAACAGUUAACC